GACGUAGGGGGCCAGCGUUGUUCGGAAUUACUGGGCGUAAAGGGCGUGUAGGCGGCCAACUAAGUCCGACGUGAAAUCCCCAGGCUUAACCUGGGAACUGCGUCGGAUACUGGAUGGCUUGAAUCCGGGAGAGGGAUGCGGAAUUCCAGGUGUAGCGGUGAAAUGCGUAGAUAUCUGGAGGAACACCGGUGGCGAAGGCGGCAUCCUGGACCGGCAUUGACGCUAAAGCGCGAAAGCCAGGGGAGCAAACGGG
rnacentral:rRNA from 1 species